UACAUGUGGUGCACGGUGGUUAGCACGUUCGCCUCACACCUCCAGGGUCGGGGGUUCGAUUCCCACCGUGAC
rnacentral:tRNA from 1 species